AAGUCGUAACAAGGUUUCCGUAGGUGAACCUGCGGAAGGAUCAUUAUCGAGUUUGAAAGCGGAGGCUUGUUGCUAGUGCGGAAACGCAUAUGUGCACGGCUUCCGCGCUCAAUUCCAUUCAACACCUGUGCACCUUUGCGAAGUUAGUAGUCAUUUUUUUGUUACUCUGAUUGUAAUGGGUGAAACUUUUACUUGCGCGCAAGUAAGCUUGUAAGGCGAACGCGCACACUUUGUGUUAGUAGCUUUUGAAGGCAGAACGCGAGCUUGUAAUCUCACUCGGUUGGAGGGCAGAACGCGGUGGCGAAACCUUUGAUUUUUGUUACAAACAUGUUGUAUGUCUUGUGGAAUGUAAUGCUCCUUGUGAGCGAAAUGAAAUACAACUUUCAACAACGGAUCUCUUGGCUCUC
rnacentral:misc_RNA from 1 species